rnacentral:rRNA from 1 species
GAUGAACGCUGGCGGCGUGCCUAAUACAUGCAAGUCGAACGAAACUUCUUUAUCACCGAGUGCUUGCACUCACCGAUAAAGAGUUGAGUGGCGAACGGGUGAGUAACACGUGGGCAACCUGCCCAAAAGAGGGGGAUAACACUUGGAAACAGGUGCUAAUACCGCAUAACCAUAGUUACCGCAUGGUAACUAUGUAAAAGGUGGCUAUACUACCGCUUUUGGAUGGGCCCGCGGCGCAUUAGCUAGUUGGUAGGGUAAAGGCUUACCAAGGCAAUGAUGCGUAGCCGAAUUGAGAGGUUGAUCGGCCACAUUGGGACUGAGACACGGCCCAAACUCCUACGGGAGGCAGCAGUAGGGAAUCUUCCACAAUGGGCGAAAGCCUGAUGGAGCAACGCCGCGUGGGUGAAGAAGGUCUUCGGAUCGUAAAACCCUGUUGUUAGAGAAGAAAGUGCGUGAGAGUAACGGUUCACGUUUCGACGGGAUCUAACCAGAAAGCCACGGCGAACUACGU